ensembl:snoRNA
UGCAAAUGGUGUUGUUCUCACGAUGGUCUUCCAGGUCUCCUGGUGAAGGGGCUCUGACAAGACGGCCACAAGGCUUUGCUGAUGCCUAGCA